GUACUGAUGAAGAGUCCCGAACUAGGACGAAACAGCCGUCCAGUAC
rfam:Trichobilharzia regenti genome assembly, scaffold: TRE_scaffold0005696